rnacentral:rRNA from 1 species
UACGGGGGGGGGCAAGCGUUUGUUCGGAAUUACUGGGCGUAAAGGGCUCGUAGGCGGCCAACUAAGUCAGACGUGAAAUCCCUCGGCUUAACCGGGGAACUGCGUCUGAUACUGGAUGGCUUGAGGUUGGGAGAGGGAUGCGGGAAUUCCAGGUGUAGCGGUGAAAUGCGUAGAUAUCUGGAGGAACACCGGUGGCGAAGGCGGCAUCCUGGACCAAUUCUGACGCUGAGGAGCGAAAGCCAGGGGAGCAAAGCGGG